CACACGCCAACCCGCCCUUCCCUUCUUCUCAGCCCUCGAUCUCCCGCACGGUCGCCCACACAGCACAAACACAAUACAGACCCUAUAAGAGGGCGGUGCGGCAGCGGGGGUAGGGGGAGUAAACUGAUACGACACCCCUAUUCCCUCCCUUUUAUUUUGUACCCUUCCCCGACCCAAAGAGCUAGAGUCAGGACAAAUGUCAUGUGCAGAGCAACUUCGAACAAGCAACUACCAAAUGACG